ACGGCGGUAUGCUAGUUUUCGC
rnacentral:siRNA from 1 species